AUUGAACGCUGGCGGCAUGCCCUACACAUGCAAGUCGAACGGCAGCACGGGUGCUUGCACCUGGUGGCGAGUGGCGAACGGGUGAGUAAUACAUCGGAACAUGUCCUGUAGUGGGGGAUAGCCCGGCGAAAGCCGGAUUAAUACCGCAUACGAUCCACGGAUGAAAGCGGGGGACCUUCGGGCCUCGCGCUAUAGGGUUGGCCGAUGGCUGAUUAGCUAGUUGGUGGUGUAAAGGCCUACCAAGGCGACGAUCAGUAGCUGGUCUGAGAGGACGACCAGCCACACUGGGACUGAGACACGGCCCAGACUCCUACGGGAGGAAGCAGUGGGGAAUUUUGGACAAUGGGCGAAAGCCUGAUCCAGCAAUGCCGCGUGUGUGAAGAAGGCCUUCGGGUUGUAAAGCGCUUUUGUCCGGAAAGAAAUCCUUGGCUCUAAUACAGGCGGGGGAUGACGGUACCGGAAGAAUAAGCACCGGCUAACUACGUG
rnacentral:rRNA from 1 species